rnacentral:rRNA from 1 species
AGUAACGGCGAGCGAAGCGGCAACAGCUCAAAUUUGAAAUCUGGCUACUUUGUAGUCCGAGUUGUAAUUUGUAGAGGAUGCUUUUGGUGAGGUGCCUUCCGAGUUCCCUGGAACGGGACGCCAGAGAGGGUGAGAGCCCCGUACGGUUGGAUACCAAACCUUUGUAUAGCUCCUUCAACGAGUCGAGUAGUUUGGGAAUGCUGCUCUAAAUGGGAGGUAUAUCUCUUCUAAAGCUAAAUAUAGGCUAGAGACCGAUAGCGCACAAGUAGAGUGAUCGAAAGAUGAAAAGCACUUUGAAAAGAGAGUUAAACAGCACGUGAAAUUGUUGAAAGGGAAGCGCCUAUGACCAGACUUGUUUCUUUCAGUUUUGUUAGUUCUCGGACUGAUUUACUCUGUUAGUACAGGCCAGCAUCAGUUUGUUGUCGGGGAGAAAGGCUUAGGGAAUGUGGCUCCUUCGGGAGUGUUAUAGCCCUUUGCAUAAUACCCUUCGGCAGACUGAGGACCGCGCUUCGGCAAGGAUGCUGGCGUAAUGGUCAUCAGCGACCCGUCUUGAAACACGGACCAAGGAGUCAACCUUAUGUGCGAGUGUUUGGGUGUAAAACCCCAGCGCGUAAUGAACGUGAACGUAGGUGAGAGCUUCGGCGCAUCAUCGACCGAUUCUGAUGUUCUCGGAUGGAUUUGAGUAAGAGCACACAGGGUUGGACCCGAAAGAAGGUGAACUAUGCUUGUAUAGGGUGAAGCCAGAGGAAACUCUGGUGGAGGCUCGCAGCGGUUCUGACGUGCAAAUCGAUCGUCAAAUAUGAGCAUGGGGGCGAAAGACUAAUCGA